UACGAAGGGGGCUAGCGUUGCUCGGAAUCACUGGGCGUAAAGGGUGCGUAGGCGGGUCUUUAAGUCAGGGGUGAAAUCCUGGAGCUCAACUCCAGAACUGCCUUUGAUACAGCACGUCUCGAGUCCGGAAGAGGUGGGUGGAAUUCCUAGUGUAGAGGUGAAAUUCGUAGAUAUUAGGAAGAACACCGGUGGCGAAGGCGGCCCACUGGUCCGGUACUGACGCUGAGGUGCGAAGCGUGGGGAGCAAACAGG
rnacentral:rRNA from 1 species